rnacentral:rRNA from 1 species
GCGUGAACGAUGAAGGCCUUCGGGUCGUAAAGUUCUGUUGUCAGGGAAGAACAAGUACCGGAGUAACUGCCGGUACCUUGACGGUACCUGACCAGAAAGCCACGGCUAACUACGUGCCAGCAGCCGCGGUAAUACGUAGGUGGCAAGCGUUGUCCGGAAUUAUUGGGCGUAAAGCGCGCGCAGGCGGUUCCUUAAGUCUGAUGUGAAAGCCCCCGGCUCAACCGGGGAGGGUCAUUGGAAACUGGGGAACUUGAGUGCAGAAUAGGAGAGCGGAAUUCCACGUGUAGCGGUGAAAUGCGUAGAGAUGUGGAGGAACACCAGUGGCGAAGGCGGCUCUCUGGUCUGUAACUGACGCUGAGGCGCGAAAGCGUGGGGAGCGAACAGGAUUAGUC